rfam:Myotis davidii contig97968, whole genome shotgun sequence.
AACUUUGCGCAGUGGCAGUAUCGUAGCCACUGGGUUUAUCUGAGGCGCGAUUAUCGCUAAUUGAAAAA